UAGGGAUGCAGUCCUUUCUAUACCUCUCUUCCUCUCUCAUAAUUGAACUGUCCUUUUCUUUAUAUUAGAUGCAACAACAUUUGAGCCAACAACACAAUUGACCCCAGCAACUAGUAAGUAUUAUCAACAUCUGGAAAAGUCACUGAGUUAUUUUAUCAGAAGUCCAUAAACAAUUGAUCUUAUGGAUGUAGUCUUUUAUGUACCUCUCUUCCUCUCUCAUAAUUAACUGUCCUUUUCUUCAUAUUAGAUGCAACAACACCAUUUGAGCCAACAACACAAUUGACCCCAGCAACUAGUAAGUAUUAUCAACAUCUGGAAAAGUCACUGAGUUAUUUUAUCCGAAGUCCAUAAACAAUUGAUCUUAUGGAUGUAGUCUUUUAUAUACCUCUCUUCCUCUCUCAUAAUUAACUGUCCUUUUCUUCAUAUUAGAUGCAACAACAUUUGAGCCAACAACACAAUUGACCCCAGCAACUAGUAAGUAUUAUCAACAUCUGGAAAAGUCACUGAGUUAUUUUAUCAGAAGUCCAUAAACAAUUGAUCUUAUGGAUGUAGUCUUUUAUGUACCUCUCUUCCUCUCUCAUAAUUAACUGUCCUUUUCUUCAUAUUAGAUGCAACAACACCAUUUGAGCCAACAACACAAUUGACCCCAGCAACUAGUAAGUAUUAUCAACAUCUGGAAAAGUCACUGAGUUAUUUUAUUAGAAGUCCAUAAACAAUUGAUCUUAUGGAUGUAGUCUUUUAUAUACCUCUCUUCCUCUCUCAUAAUUAACUGUCCUUUUCUUCAUAUUAGAUGCAACAACAUUUGAGCCAACAACACAAUUGACCCCAGCAACUAAUGCAACAACACCAUUUGAGCCAACAACACAAUUGACCCCAGCAACUAGUAAGUAUUAUCAACAUCUGGAAAAGUCACUGAGUUAUUUUAUCAGAAGUCCAUAAACAAUUGAUCUUAUGGAUGUAGUGUUUUAUAUACCUCUCUUCCUCUCUCAUAAUUAACUGUCCUUUUCUUCAUAUUAGAUGCAACAACACCAUUUGAGCCAACAACACAAUUGACCCCAGCAACUAGUAAGUAUUAUCAACAUCUGGAAAAGUCACUGAGUUAUUUUAUCAGAAGUCCAUAAACAAUUGAUCUUAUGGAUGUAGUCUUUUAUAUACCUCUCUUCCUCUCUCAUAAUUAACUGUCCUUUUCUUCAUAUUAGAUGCAACAACAUUUGAGCCAACAACACAAUUGACCCCAGCAACUAGUAAGUAUUAUCAACAUCUGGAAAAGUCACUGAGUUAUUUUAUCAGAAGUCCAUAAACAAUUGAUCUUAUGGAUGUAGUCUUUUAUGUACCUCUCUUCCUCUCUCAUAAUUAACUGUCCUUUUCUUCAUAUUAGAUGCAACAACACCAUUUGAGCCAACAACACAAUUGACCCCAGCAACUAGUAAGUAUUAUCAACAUCUGGAAAAGUCACUGAGUUAUUUUAUCAGAAGUCCAUAAACAAUUGAUCUUAUGGAUGUAGUGUUUUAUAUACCUCUCUUCCUCUCUCAUAAUUAACUGUCCUUUUCUUCAUAUUAGAUGCAACAACACCAUUUGAGCCAACAACACAAUUGACCCCAGCAACUAGUAAGUAUUAUCAACAUCUGGAAAAGUCACUGAGUUAUUUUAUCAGAAGUC
rnacentral:lncRNA from 1 species